rnacentral:sRNA from 1 species
AUAGCUCAGCUUCACCAUCGUAUUUAGCUGUGGUCAACGAACGAUUUCGUCCCUACUGCUGUCUGUACGGAAAUGAGGAUCAGCAUCUCUGGCUUGUGAAAUCCAUGCUCUUGGAGUCUUAUGUACGCAGCCUCCUUGUUUCCUUCUCAGGGACAGACAGGUUAUGGUGUUUCUCGUACAAACGCAGCAAGGACUGUCAUGGCCAUUUUACCUACCGAUGAAGUUUUGUUUACCUCGAUCCUCUUUCGUCAAUCUCUCUAGCCAAUCUCUCUAGGCGCGCUCUUCCUGUCAAAUCCUGGAUAAUGGUACGAGAAAAUCAUGCAAGUGUGCGAGCCAUGCAGUAGUUGAGUAAAUAGACCUGGGAUUGAGAUCGCCAAAUGAAAGAAAGUGCAAUGAGAAAGGCAUGGGUGCUGUAUGGAAUAAAGGCGAAAUAAUUAUAUGCAAACUCUCUUGCAACAUUUAUGUCACUACAGGUUGUCAUGUCUUUGUUUAUUAUUCGCCGCUGCCCAUCACACGCAAUAUCAUCAACACAGGGCAUUCUGACUGGAUGCAUUGUCCAUUUCAACCAUGAGUUUGGUCCUUGUGCUUUUCAACUCAUCAACCCCAUCUCCCAACAAGUGACAAUCAGUUAAAGAAUUUAUAGUUCAUAAAACUGGGGGUUAAUAUAAUCUACAUGAAAUUACCAG